AUGAAAUAUGAGAGAGCCUAAGACACCCCUUUCUGUCUAGCAAGAGCACUCUAACGGCACAAGGUUCCUGAUGACUCUCAUUCCUGUGCU
rnacentral:miRNA from 1 species